CACAUAAAGACCAUGGUCAUUACCGUUCAACAGGAAAUGACGUAUAUGAACGCGUCGCUAAGAGAUGUCUGCUUGCAGUUUAGUGUCAUAGUUCUGCAGAUUGUCGAAAGCAUUACUUGAAGUCAUUUUUCGUCAGAAAAUAUAGCACCAUACCUCUCUCCGGUGGAGCAAGUCUUCUCCCAGGUCUCCACACAACGGUCCCAAAUAGAGGACUUUGGCUCCAGUUUCAGGUUCGAGCAUUUUGUGCUGUGUAGAGACCACUGUCCACUUCCAUGGCAAUUUCCCCCAGCACUCAACAGGAGUCAAGCAGCCUGACGUUAGCCUCUAUGGACACUGCUGGCAGAAGGGUCUAUCUUUGCCCUGUUUUUUUCAGUGCCUGGCUCCCCUGUACUCUCCCAGGUUCCCCAACCCCAUCUCCAGCAGCAUAAUGCCCAGAACAACAGGACCAGCGGCCGAAGGAGAGACAUGACCAGCGGCAGCAGCAGCGUGUUGGUGGGGCUUCUGGGAUGGUCAGAUGUUGAAAUACGCCCCCUCACUCCCUCACUUGAGCCGUGGUUUACAGACUGUAGAAGAAUGACCCUCGCUGGGAAAACAUUGCAUGAAGGUGUGACCAAACCCCUCCUCCCACCACACCAGAACGCGGAGUCAGCUCUCCAGGACACUUACCCUCAUUGCCCUGUGCCCCCUCCCAGGCGCCCUGCUAUCCCACAGUAAAAUAUGUUCCUCUUUUUCGACCCUCUCCAGUGUGUCAGCAGACAGCUGUUUAUCCUGAUGGAUUUAUCGUGAGGUGUUAGUAGUUUUUAUGCAACUAACUCAAAAACAGCAGGUGCACAAGUUGAUUUGAGGUGCAGCUUUUUAUGAUAUAGUUUUUUAUUAUUUCAACAGGAGAUAAGGUACUUAGAAUAGGGUGAAAUUUGUGCUCAUCAGAUUUCAGGAAUUCCUGUGUUUCAACUUGAUUUACUGCCUCUGGCAUUCCUUGAUAUGUAGCUGGACUUCUCAGAAAAGAACUAAACGUUAAAAAAAACUAAAA